UAUUGGAAACAGCACUUCAAAACUUUGGGAAGUUCAAAUAGAUACAAAUAGAGAAAGAAGGACUGAGAGCAAACAAGGGAGAGCCGCAGUUCAGAGCAGAGUAAGACAGCUGGCCAAGGAAGACAACCCAUGUUAUUUCACAGACAGGAAAUAAAAGGAAUUAUUUUCAAAAGGAUGACCUGACAGCAGAGGGAACCAACCAUGGCUCAGUGACUCCCAGCACUGAUCCCCACUGGCAAAAGAAAAACAGAAAAAACAGCACCUGCAAAAGUCUGAAUUUAUGAAACUCAAUGUAUGGUAAACAUCCAAACAAGCUACUCUGAAACAUGAUAGCACUGCUCAUCCCAGGGACCUGUGAUCUGCCUUCAAACAGACACCAGAAGAUGGAAUCUCUUGACCAGGUUGCCUUUUCCAAGACAAGGAAGGAAUAAGGUUUCUGGGCAACAGCAGUUGCUGGAUCACAAGGGGCAGCAGGACUGCACUGCAGUUCCUGUCCUAUCCCGUGAAAACAACCAGUCCUUCUGUGCACACCCUGACCUGGGCUCCCUCACUCCUGACAAAAUACCAC